UAAUAAGUGUUUUAUGGCACUUUUUGAAUCCAUAUCCACCUUGUGUGCAAUGUCAGUCGAUCUUCUUCAUGGAGAUCGACCAAACAUCAACCUUUAUCUUUUAACUCUUUGUCUGAAAAGUAUUAUGAAUAAACAAUUCAAAAUA
rnacentral:misc_RNA from 1 species